rnacentral:tRNA from 1 species
GGACUGGUAGUUCAGUUUGGUUAGAAUGCCGGCCUGUCACGCCGGAGGUCGCGGGUUCGAGUCCCGUCCAGUCCGCCA